rnacentral:lncRNA from 1 species
AUGGCUCUUGAGCCCUUGAAUUGUGGCUAGUACAACUAGAAAAGGAAUGCUUUAAGUAACUGUAAUUCCAUUUAAAGCUAAAAGUCACGGUUGGCUGGAUACUGGCAGUACUGUUCUUAAAGAAGCCAUGGACUAAGAAAAGACAAAAAUUUCUCUAUUGGCUGCUCUACCAUUUGGCCUGUGAAUUAAACAAUCUGCUCAGCCACUGCUUAGAAAUUCCUCCUUGCCCUGGGGGUCUGGGUCCCACAGUCAGGAGGAAGUAAGAAAGUCAGCAAUUUGAUGCUAUUGGAGGCUGAAUAUUCUAAGAAUGAAAAUCAAAUAGAGUCCCUUUCCUUUUAUUCUCUUUAUUGCUCAAAAUCAUGAUAUAUUUUAUUUUGGUUUAUAUUUGGACUAUGAUGUUCUUGCAUAUAUUUCUUUUGUUAUUUCUGGAGAUUCUAAAUGCUUUUGCUUUACCUGGUGGGCAGACCAACUAUUUACCUUCAAGAACUUCCAGUUACUUUUUUAUUGCUAUGUAUUUAAUGGCAUCCACUUUUCAUGGAGACACCAUUCUCAGGACCCUGUGAAAUCCUCCACUAAUUUAGGCCUCUUGCUUUCUUUACCUGCUAAACAGCUGUCAUCUUGAGUUUUCUUGGCAUAUUCCUGAGUUAGUUCAUUCAUACAUUCAAUAAAUAUUUGUUGAACACCUACUAAAUGCCAGAUACUGUGAUAAACACUAGGAAGUCAGUGAUGAAGAAAACCAAGUCCCUGAACUCAUGGCGUUUUUAUUUCAGCAGGGGAGACAGGGGUAAACAGAUAAAUAAAAAUAAUAUGUCAGGCAGUGAAAAUAAAGACGAGUGAGGGGAAUAGAGGAUGCCAUGAAUGAAGAAAGUUAUGUGACUAUUUUAGGCAGGUCGGUCAUGGAAGCUUUUACAAUGAGAUGAAAGUCUGAAUAAAGGCCUAAGAGAAGAAAGAACACAGCCAUGUGACUAUUAGGCAAAGAAUGUACCUAACAGCCAAUGCAAAUGUUCCCAGGUGAGACUGCUUGAACUCUUUGUCCAUGCACAGUUUGUCAACCUGUCCUAAUUUGCGGGAGUGGAAGAACACAGGAGGAACACUUUAAAGAACAUUUCAACUCUGGGACAGGAACAUUUUUAUUAGAGAUUCUAGUUUUGCCUUGGCAGAAUGCCUUUGUUUGUUUGACUCAGAAGAUCAUGACUCCAGCCUGAUUCACUCUGUGAGUGUGUGUGUGUGUGUGUGUGUGUGUGUGUGUUAGGGAUGAAGGAGUAAGACAACUCACCUGACUACUGUGACAGCAAUUUCCCAAAAUUACUUGAACUUCUGUCUCAUGACCCAGUUGAGUUCUGUGUCCACAACUUCUUCAACUACAGAUUUCAUAAUUUCACUAUGUUCUGGACUAUUUCUUUCUCUGUUCUGAUUUAUCAAAUAAUCCAUACUGCUUUCCAUAUUAUAAAGAUUCUUCAAUAUCUCUCAUCACUGAAGGCUCCUUUCUCAGGCUGGGACUAUAUAUAGGUUAUUCUUUUCUUACUAACACUUUAAUGGGAUCUUGGAAAGAAAGUAAAUUCAUGUAUACCUUAAACUUGAAGUCAGAAUUCUUAUGGGCUGAUAUAGCUGAAGAAUGAUUGAGAGUAGACUGGGUAGGACAUUCCUGAGUGGCCACAACACUGAGGAAAACAGUAGAGAAUCAGCCCUUUCCUGUUAUGUUCUGAGAGCCCUUGUCUAUGACAAUUACAUUGUCUGGACUAUUAUGGUUUUAUUAUAUAUUGUAUGCUAAAAAUCGAUAUUGUAAGACUGCAAGCCAGGGGCUUUACAGACUGAGUGACUUGUGAAAGGUCCUUAGGAAGGUGAGUUAUAGUUAAGGUUGGGGAUGUAGACAUCAGUAUCAGUAAUUCAGUCCUAUCAGUAGCAAUGCAAAAUGAAUAUGUCCCUCGAAAUAGACAUUGCUAAUGAGAGACCAUGUUCUAAAGAGUCUUAGGUACGUCAUUGUUAAAGAUUAUGUUUUAAAGUAUUUUAUUCAUUUUGUUUCCUUAAAAAAGGAAGGAGGGCUAGCCUAUUAAUUAAAAUAAAGACUCCAGAACCAGAUUUGGGGUGUUUAAAAUCUGUCUAUUAAAUGCAACAGCUUUUUAAAUAAGCAGCGCCCUGCCAGCCUGGAAGUCUGAGAGCCAGAAGUGGUAUUCAGGGAUUUCUGAGAGCCAGAAGUGGUACUCAGGGAUUUCAGCCAAUUAAAUGAAUCUGUCCUGAUCAUCAUUAGAUGGCAGUCUCCCUGCUGGUCCCUGAAGUCAGAGAGAUAGGAGAAACAUUUUCCUGUGUAUAGGGAGCUUACAGCUAAAUAGGGAGAUGGUGGCAUAAAGAAAUUAUUACUCUAACAUUUCUGGGUUAAACUAAAAAAUAAAGAUGUAAUAUUAACAAUCACAUCUUAUAAGCUUACCAUUAGAAUAUAAACUAUUCUAUAUGUGUAUUAAACUGGGUUUUUAAAAUCACAAGUCAGAAGCUAUGUAGCUCAGCCAAGAGGCUAGCACAUAGUAGGGGACUAAAUAGGACUGGAUUGGAAAGCAAGAAACUACCAACAAUGUUACUAACAAAUAUGGUAAUAAUGUGUGAUGAAAAUAUCCUAAACACUAAUAGAGGAAGGAAUUUAGAGAAUUUCCAGUCUAUCCUUUUUAUAAAUAAAGAAAUCGUGACCUGGAGACUUACCUGGGAAAGAUGUAGAAUUUAAGUGCAGAUGCAAACUUUCAGUCAGAAGUUCUUUUUCACUGUAACUGCAAGAUAAAAAUGCCUGAUAAGUCUCACAUAGAACACAAAAAGGCACAGAAAUCACUUUUAUUAUGUCACAGUAGCCACCAUAAUUGCCAGUUGUGCUUCUCCUGCCUUCUUUCAUUUUAACCAAUCAUCCAUUCAUUCAAAAGUGUAGAGAAAACUAUCAGUUCCAGACCCUGUGUUACUUUCUGGAGAUACAGCCUUUGCCCUCAUGGAGUUCAUGGUCUAGGAGGGAACACAGGUAAAAACAAUAUAAUAUUACUGUUAUACAUCACAAUUAUAUUAUCAUAAUUAUAUGUAAUAUGUAUAAAUAUAUAUACGACCAAAUAAUAUAAAACAACUAUAGAAGAAAUAUAGGUGCCAGAUUACUAAAAAAAAAGAGCACUGAUUACUUUAUAUGCAAAAGCAGUAACAGAAGCAUGAAGCAUGGGAAAAGCACGGAAAUACAGAACAGAGGAUAAUUGCCUGCAUAGUUAGGGAAGGUUUGAAAAGGAGGUUCUCCUGAUCGUGGUGCUGAUGAAUGAGUAGGACGAUUUCAGGUGGAACCUGGCAGGCAACUAGUCUAGGAGAAUGUGCCUACCUCUAGAUGUUUAGGUGUGCUUACCUUAGUAAGAAGAGAUUCAGGGGGCAGAUUCUGUCACACCCUGGGCUACAUUUGCUGUUCUUCCCCCCAAGACCCUUGCUCUUGAGUUUUUCACCCAAAACACUUUCUUAGCUCAGCACUUUCUCUGCUUUUCCACUGGCUCUACAGUCAUCCUCUCACCCACAGUACUUCCUGUGAUGGUCAUGGGGUUGGAGGUUGGGUUUACUUGUCCGCAUCAUUGCUAUUUAUAUAUAUAUAUAAAUAUAAACCCAACGUGGGUUCAAUCCCUGGCUGUACCAUUCUCCAGAAUGUGCUCUGGAGAAAUAACUAUAUUUUCCUGUUAUUAA